rnacentral:misc_RNA from 1 species
CAGAGUUCAUGCCCUUCGGGGUAGACCUCCCACCCUUGAGUACUAUACUUUUGUUGCUUUGGCAGGCCGUCAGGUUUACGCCUGGCUACCGGCUCCGGCUGGUAAGUGUCUGCCAGAGGACCUAAACUCUGAAUUUUAUGUCGUCUGAGUACUAUAUAAUAGUUA